GCCGCUAUGGUGAAAUUGGUAGACACGCUGCUCUUAGGAAGCAGUGCUGGUACAUCGGUUCGAGUCAGUGGCGGCA